GUGCCGGAUGUGUCAGUUGAUCUCUUGGUCAAUACUGUUGAAGAUGCAAAGAAGCCUUCAGUAGCGGCCAUCCGAGGGCUUGCUCUUGGUGGUGGAUUGGAAGUAGCGAUGGGUUGUCAUGCUCGGAUAUCCACUCCAGACGCGCAACUUGGGUUGCCAGAAUUGACUCUUGGAGUUAUUCCUGGGUUUGGAGGUACUCAACGUCUACCGAGGCUUUUGGGGUUGUCGAAGGCUAUAGAUAUGAUGUUGCAAUCGAAGCCAAUUCGGGCAACCGAAGGGAGGGAGCGAGGUCUUAUCGAUGCGAUUGUUUCUCCUGAAGAUCUAAUGCGAGCAUCACGACUUUGGGCUUUGGAAAUUGUCAAUGGGCGCAAGCCUUGGAUUAGUUCUCUUCGUCGGAAUGAUAGACUUUGUUCCCUUUCUGAAGCACAUGAGAUAUUCAAAGCUGCCAGGCAACAGGCAAAGAAGAUAGCACCAAAUAUGCCACAGCACCUGAAAUGUCUUGAAGUGAUUGAGGAGGGUGUUGUUUCUGGUGGAUAUGCCGGUGUUUUGAAG
rnacentral:misc_RNA from 1 species